GUCUGGAGGAAUAAGAAAAAUUCCAAUGAGAGGUGGAGAGUAAAUAUCUAGAGACUAAGAGUUAGCUAGAGCUAGUGGCAUUUGUGGUGGAGUGCCACAAGAAAGAAUUAGCCGAUUAUAAAGAUAUUGAGGAGGGAUGUUGGGCGAGCAAGAAGAAAGAAUUUUAAGCUCAAUAGAGUUCUAUGACUUGCUUGGUGCCUGAUCCGCAUUUCUUCUCAAACCAGGCUUAAACGGACCCAUCAGACAAUUUUAGGAAGCGAACUACUCACCAGCAGGAUGUGGGUGUGACCCUUGAGGAUGUGGAUAGCCUACUGGAGAGGAUCCUGGACUGCUAGCCGAAUAAAAAAGAUGAAGCAGAAAAGAAGAGGAAGAUGAGCAACUUCUUACAUGUCUCGAUCAACAACAACAUCCAAUCAACACACAAGUGUCGAUCAAUCCUACUAGAGCUCAAAGAGACAGCAUGCUUGUUGAAUUAUCUAGUUAAGAGGGGGGCUGCUUUUGGCCUCUGGGUGGAGACGCUGGAUUCCAUGGAUCCAAGCCAUGAUGACUACGCAACUAUUCUGAGUGAGGAGGUGAUAGGAAGGGAAGACGAAGACCAAAUCAUAGACCUCCUUCAACAACAAUGUGACGAAGAUGGAAAUGAACCCUUCAUCAUUGCCAUUAAUGGUAGUAAAUACUCUGGGAAGACAACCUUGGCUCGCAAAAUCUACCAUCAUCCUUGGGUGCGCCAACAUUUCCAACAUCGAAUAUGGUUGGAUGCUUCAUCUUUUAGAGAUUUCAAUAGCAGCAUGAUCGCUAUAGAAAUUGCAAGAUUAUUGACCCGGAAACCAUGUAUGAACGUCAAUUGUUGGCCACUUAUCAAUGAACAUCUUGGUGGAGAUAGAUACUUGCUCAUCUUCGAUGAUGUUUGUAUAAGUGAUGUUUUGAAAUACAAAUGGGAGGAACUUAAGUUGAAUCUCCUUCAUUGUGGUGCACCGGGGAGCAAAGUCAUCCUUGUUGGGUAUAUUUUUAAUAGAGAUGGAAGAGAAUUCAACGUCAAGAAGUACAUAUUAAACCAUCUGCGUGAGGAUGCAUGGGUAAGAAUAUUAUUAAGGUAUGCAACAUUUGUUCGUCCAAUCAAAGGUAAUAACAAUAUUCACAGAGAGAAGGCUUCUCCAACUGUUACUGAUAUACUAAUUCCACUUGCUAAGAAAUUUAGACAAGAUUAUGAUAGUGGUGAUUAUCUAGGAGCAAAGUGUAUGGGCCUCAUGUUUAGGUGGAGAGACAAGAGUCAGUGGGGAGAACUAGCUAAUCAGUUGUUCAACAUUAAACAUUUACACAAGUAUUUUUUGUCGGUGCACCAACAGUAUAGGUCAAUUGAGGAUACACGAAGUUCUCUUUACAAGUUAUUGUUCGAAGGAUCUAAAGAUGAAAGCUACGAUGAAGAUGUGCUCUAUAUGUUGAUUGCUGAGGACACUCUAACAAAUACAAGGCUAAAGAGGAAUCUUCAAAUCAUGUCAUUUAAGUUCAAUUUAGAUCAAUGCUUUUUCAGAAUGAAGGUUGGUGAAGAUUUAAGUAUACCACCUCAGUGUCGCCAUCUGCAUUUGUUUAUCAAUUCUAAAAAUAUUUUAAAAUCUAAAAAGGCCAUUGAAGUGGCGGGGGUAGCCAAUAAGCUGAGAACUUUGAUUUUGCAUAGAAAAGAGAAAAAAGGACAUAUUUAUCAGAUAGAAACAAAGAAGCUUGAAGGUUUGUUUUUGAAUCUCACUUGUUUAUGUACGUUACAUAUGAGAGCUAUCAUGAUUCAAGACCUCCCUAGUACAGUUAGCACAUUGCAUUGCUUGAGAUACCUCAACCUUGCGGAGAACAAGAUAGAAACACUGCCUGAAUCCCUCUGUAACCUCAGUAAUUUGUGUGCUCUAAUUUUAUCACUUUGCAAAAAGCUUAAGGAGCUUCCAAGACAAAUCCACAAGCUUAGAAAAUUACAGAUUUUGAAAUUGUCAUGCUGCUUGAGGAUUCAGAAGUUGCCGGAUUCAAUCACUCGCCUCGUGAAUUUGAAAGAAUUAGGAUGUUGGAGGUUGUUGUUGGCUUUCGAAGUUGCCUGAUGAUUUGAGCAACUUGAAGAACUUGAUGCAGCUUAAUAUGCAUGGAUGUGCAUCGUUGACUAUAAUGCCUAGUGGAAUUAGGCAAUUAACAAACUUAGAAGUGUUGUUGGGAUAUGAUGCUAUGGAUGGUCUUGGAAAUGUCAUGUUCUCAGAGUUACGAGCUCUUACAAAUCUUGAAUCCCUGCAUAUACAACACCUUGAAAGAUUAGUAUUAGCAGAAGCAGAAGCAAAAGAAAAGGAUAAGACUGAACCCACUAUUUUACAGGAGAAUCAACAUCUAAAUGAGUUGAUGUUGCAUUGGGCAUGGUGGAAUGAUAUGGUUGCUGAAGGAACUUUCGAGCCCACACUGCAACUAACCCAAGGCUUCCACCGUAACCUAGAAGAGUUGAAGGUCUUACGGAUCGUUUCGUACAUGAGCAUAAAACUCCCAAGUUGGUUGAUCAUGGAUAGAGAUUCUGUUCUGAAUAAACUGACUACAAUUCAUCUAGUUAAUCUUAGGAGAUGUGAGAGACUACCAGAACUUGGGUUGCUACGUCAGCUUGAGGAGGUUGUGAUAAGUGGUUUUGAUUUAGUGAGGGUGAUAGACGAUGACUUCUACGAGAUGGGCAGACGAGUUCCAUUUUAUGGAUUGAAGAGAUUUACAUUAUCUGAAAUGCCUAUGCUAGAGAAGUGGGACCUACCUAUAUAUUUUAAAAGGAGACUUCGAUGGAUCAAGGUAGAGGCCAAGAUCAAGGCCUUGGUCUUGGCCAAGGCCGAUUUCGAGGUCGUGGUCAAGGCCACUACUGCCCGAGCCAAAGCAGAGGCUUGGGUCCGGGCUUAGGUCGAGGCUAAGGCUUGGGUUGAGACUGAAGCCGAGGCUUGGGCUGAGGCCGAGGCCAGGGCCGAGGUCGAGGCUCGGGCCGAGACCUGGAUCUUGGCCUUGGGCCUAAUACGACCCUUUGCUCAAGCUGAGGACGAGACCCUUGUUAGGACCCGGGACUUGGAAUGGGCCAGGGCUCGAGAACAGGCCAGGGCUCGAGAACGGGCCAGGGACGAUGCCCGGACCCAAGUUGAGGCUUGGGCCCGGGCCAAUGCCUAGGUCGAGGGCCAAGCUCGGGCUCGGGCCUGGGCUGGGGGCAUGGUCGUGACCGAGGCCGACGUCGAGGCUUGGGCCGUGGCUGAGGCUUGGGCCAUGGCCGAGGAAUGAGCCUGGGCCCAGGUCAAGGCAAAGGCCGAGGAUGAUUAUUCUGUCAGACAUGCCAAGGCCGAAGUCAAGACCAACUCUUUUACCAGUCGGUUUGAGGCCGAGGCCGAGGCCGAAGCCAAUUAUUAUGCUAGAUGGAUCAAGGCUGAUUAUUUUGUCAAACUUGAGGAAUUGCCCCUAAUUCAAUGGCCAAAGCUCAGGGAAUUCCAUCUGUCAUUUCCAACCUCUUCUAAAUUGAAAUUGAAACUCUGGUUGAGCAAUGAGAUGCUAAUGCCUUCUUUUAAAUUCAAUGAUUGGUCGGAGUUUUGGAGAAUCCAUAGGUUACAAUUAUUUGGGUGUCAAGAACUAAGGAGUCUACCAGAUGGUUUAACGAAGAUUACCGACCUAAAGGAAUUGACAAUAAUAAAUUGUAACAAAUUGGAAGCCUUGCCCAUUUGGCUCGAACAGUCAUGUUUGAACUCUUUGUGCGUAUUUGGUUGCUCCGCGCUAUCAUUUGUUCCAGAGGGAUUGAAAGUGAAGGGGCGACUGAGAAAUCUGAUUGUUGAAGCUUGUUCCAAACUUCAGAGCCAGAAGCACCUAACGGAUGGAUGGAAUCCUUUUUGACAAGGGACAAUAGUCAUGUUGUCUUCUCCGACUUGUUGCAUAAUUAGAAGCUCAUCUCAGCUCGUAAACUUUGAUGUUGUCUAUGCUACAUCUUCUAACUUGGAUGCUUAUUUGCACUAGUUAUGCAUCCAAUGGUUUCUUUAAAGGAAAAUAAAAAAAGAAUGAUAAUUGUUGCGCUCAUAAUAACGCCCACCGAGGACAUAAAGCAUCUGAAUUAUGCACCUACGUUCGAAGAGUUAUAUGGUUUCUUGAGUUGUAUUGUUCGUUGCAAUUAAAUAAGCGAUGGAAUGGCUCUAGUGAAACUUGUUCUAUUUCCUAUGAUGUUCUAGGUUCUUUUCUUGUAUUUUUUUUUUUUAGAAAUUCAUAAAGAUGGACCACUGUCUGAUACUUUUGUUGGACAAUAUUAUCAUAA